rnacentral:lncRNA from 1 species
UUUUAUGGUCAAUGAUGUUGCUGGCUCGUCAAGGGAGGGAACAGCUAAAAAGGUCCUUAGUCGAUGGAGGGGGACUACUGGUCCUGUUGUGGACCGUGGCCGGCCAGCCACCCAGCAGCCAGGUGGUCAACUGCACAGUUGCAGGACCCUGGUGCUCAGGAGUUCCAGUGGAAGAAGUCCAACCAGAUCAGUGCAGUCAAACUGGACAGGUGUACGGUGCAGUCACACACAGAAGGCUUCUUGCACAUACUGAGUCUGACUAACGCAGGGGUGAAAAUUCACCUCAAAUUGAAAUUGGAAGGAGAAACAUACCAGAGAAUCUUUAGUGGGAAGGCAGAGAGACUCGCCCUGAAGGACCAGACUGUGACCAUGGACGUUCCUCCUUCUAUCAUGCGGCCUCCCAUGUCAUUGGGAGCAGGCCCGUGGUGCCAGCGAGGCCAUCCUGUGUUAGGAGGUGGGUUGCCUCUACUUAUCCUGCCUGAGGCCAUGGAGAGAGGCCUGUAUGGGGAGCUGAACCUCCUACCAGUCACAGUUCUCACCCCCUGUGUAUUGCAGUACUCCAACCUGGCAACCAGAGUCACACGCAUACAGAUAUCCUUUAUCAAUCACAUCACACACAUCAUAUACCCUUGCUUUGGGGGCUAGUCGUUUAGAUAAAACCAUUUGAAAGAUGUCUGAGUAGUGACAGUAGACCCUUAUUCCUACUGAACCAUCAGUCUUUAACCCCAGUGGUACGUGCUGCUUUACAGCCCAGUAACCUUCCCCUGCUGGGGCCCUCAGCCUUCCUACAGCGUAAAACGUAUCCUGAUACACAGGUUAAACACCCAAUCCUUGCAGUGAGGGUCAUCAAAAAGAAAGGAGGACCAAGGCACUCUUCAUAUAAUUGAUUAAAAUGCCUUUAUUAGUAUGGCAUGUUCAAUAGAAACAAUGUUUUUAAAAAUCCGACGCGUUUCGACUGCAUGGCCUUCGUCAGAGAGUACAAAGAAAUAAUACAAUGUUCUCUUUUUAACAGCUUUUCCAAUUAACCCUAAUUUGAAUAGGUAGUGGUUAAAAUUGAUUGGACACACCUAGUAAGCAAUACUAUACACACUUUAAAGUGAAAUACUGUAGCUAUGUUAUCAUAAAAAUGUAACUCCAAGCUAGAAGUAUCAGAACACUUAGAAAGGCAGUUCUAACCUUAAAUAUGGCUGGGAGAAGUGUCAAGAAUAAGAAAGCAAUAUAUUCCAUAGUACACUAGAACACAGCAAAACAUGAACAACAAGAGUCUAAACAUAGCUGAGGGCAAUUGAGCAAAAUGUCCACUAGAUGACAGCAAAUGGACCCAUCACAACCCUACAGGAAGGGUGAGAAAUCCAUAUCUUCAUUUAAACCUGUAGUUUGUAAAUCCAAAAACGUUCCCUUUGGUUUAACUGUUUAAGACAGUCCCCUUUUCUAAUAGAGGCAGGCAGGGGGGAGCCUCUGCAACGCUCCCCCCUUCCCUCAACAAAAUAUUGCAGCGAUUUCCCUUAUCGGAGAGGCACUGGCAAUUGUAUGCAUCUAAACUAGCUAGGUACGUUAGCAAGCUAACUAAAUAGAUAGUGACACAGAGGAAUUCUACGAUGCUGCUGAAGACGUCAAUUUUACUGGCUGCGUUGGACCGGAGGGCGACUCUGGCUGCGUCGGACCGGAGGGCGACUCUGGCUGCGUCGGACCGGAGGGCUCUCUUGGGCAUAGGUGCCGGACACUCGGGCUGAGGCACUGUCGUCGGGCACUCUGGGUUAGGUGCUGUCGCUAUGCCAUCUGGGCGAGGCGCAUGCACUGAAGGCCUGGUACGUGGGGCUGGCGUAGGGGACGCCGGACUAGGCCCACGUACCUCAGGGCUAGUGCUAGGGGCAAGAGUAGGACGAGUUGGGCUGGGCUGCCGCACUGGGAGCCUGGUGCUGGCUUCGGGGGAGUCAGACUAGGGACACACACACACACACCUGUAGGCUUGUGCGGAGAGCAGGGAUAGGUCGAGCUGGACUAGGCUUCCAGUGGUUCAGCCCAGUCCAACUCGUCCUGUUCCUGCUCCUCGCAGUAGCCCUGAGGUGCGUGUCCCCAGUCUGGUACCUCCACUACCAGCCCCACGCAUUAGGCUUCCAGUGCGUCAGCCCAGUACCUCGUCCAGAGUGUCCGGCAACAGUACCUCGUCCAGAGUGUCCGGCAACAGUACCUCGUCCAGAGUGUCCGGCAACAGUACCUCGUCCAGAGUGUCCGGCAACAGUACCUCGUCCAGAGUGUCCGGCAACAGUGUCUAGUCCGGAACCGAGUGAGUCGGCCUACAGUCCAGAGCUCCUAGAGUCGGCCUACAGUCCAGAGCUCCUAGAGUCGGCCUACAGUCCAGAGCUCCCAGAGCAGAGUCCAGGGUCCUCAGUGACUGGCCUCUGGCAAAGAUCCCCUCUGCAGUGACACUGUGUACUGUAUAGACAGAGCACAGUGUCAGGAACCUGAGCCAGAAUGGAUCCCCGCUGUGGAUCAGGCCCUCUCUCUGUUCCUGUUCCUCCAGCACAGUGACCAAUUCCUCUCCCAGCUCUCUGACUUCAUGGGUGGUCACCAUGGAGGGCAUGAAUACCUCAGGGAGGAAGUUGGUAGCAUCUAAACUCUGAGGUCAGAGGGAUUCCUCUAAAACAUCUUUGUUCGAUUUCCUGGAUCCUGAUCAAGCCUAUUCCAAGACUAAAAGCAUGUUCGACUGAGAUUCUCAAGCUGACCGGUAUGACUUCAUGGAGAUUCUCAAGCUGACCGGUAUGACUUCAUGGAGAUGCUCAAGAAACCCUCUCCCUACAUCCCCUCUGAUGGCCUGACCUUUGACCCCCUGGUGGACCUCAUCAACGUCAUUAUCGGGGACCUCCCCGAUGUCUGCAUACUGCUGGGACCCUUUGUGGACUCCUAACAUGAGCAGAUAGAGAAAUCUCUGUUGACCGAGACGUUUGAUGCCAUCUUCUCCAGAUGUGUGGGGAGCAUCGUGAAAGGCACCGAAGGAGUUGGAUGUCGGUUUGUAUUUGUUCCCCCCCGAGAGAGAUGUCCACCAUCACUUCAUUUACCCACAACCCCCUUUCACCCUGCCGGACCUCCGCAAGGACGAUGCAAAGCAUGUGACCCUGGUGCCUGACCCCUGCACCCUGCUCAUUGAGGGCGUGACCUUUAGCCUGACCUCUACAGACAUCCUGUCCUACAUGGGAGCAGAGGAGGUCAGCUGCUACUACCCCCUGUAACCGCCUGUGGAGGAGGUGAACAUGGACUAUGAGACGUUCCAGAACCACGGCCAGAUGCCCCUCAGUCAUGAUGUGCUCAUCGUCUCCUCCGAGCUGCGCUUAUUCAUCAAGGAUGUGAUUGGCUGCGUAUGUGUCAAUCCUGGAUGCCUGACCAAGGGCCAGGUGGGAGGGAGUUACGGCAGGCUGCUCAUCCAGAGGAGCUCCACAUCGAUAGAUGGAAAGAGAGUCCGUCCCUGUGAUGCCAGUCAAGUGGUCAAGAUCUAACCUGAAUUAAAGACUGACUGAAGAUUGAUUCCUCUCCUACCUCUAAUAUCCUCUAAUAUUACAAAAUGAUCUAUUGUACAACAACUAUUAAUGUAGCUAGCUGCUUACGAUAAUUUCAUUGGAUAAUUUGCUCAGUCCUGUAUGUGCUUGUUAUCCUACUGAAUCACUAGUGAUUUUACAGUGUAGUUUUCCUGAGACAUGUUGGGCACUUCAAUGAUUAUCAGUCAUAUAUUCUGAUUCUCACACUCUUCUUGUUAAUAAAUCAUUAUUU